GACGAACGCUGGCGGCGUGCUUCACACAUGCAAGUCGAGCGAGGCCCUCUCUUCGGAGAGGUGCCCUAGCGGCGAACGGGUGAGUAACACGUGGGCAACCUGCCCUCAGCUCUGGGAUAAGCCCGGGAAACCGGGUCUAAUACCGGAUAUGACUCCUACAGGCAUCUGCCGGGAGUGGAAAGAUUCAUCGGCUGAGGAUGGGCCCGCGGCCUAUCAGCUUGUUGGUGGGGUAACGGCCCACCAAGGCGACGACGGGUAGCCGGCCUGAGAGGGCGACCGGCCACACUGGGACUGAGACACGGCCCAGACUCCUACGGGAGGCAGCAGUGGGGAAUCUUGCACAAUGGGCGAAAGCCUGAUGCAGCGACGCCGCGUGAGGGAUGACGGCCUUCGGGUUGUAAACCUCUUUCAGCAGGGACGAAGCGAAAGUGACGGUACCUGCAGAAGAAGGACCGGCCAACUACGUGCCAGCCGCCGCCGUAACAC
rnacentral:rRNA from 1 species